AAAGCAUUAGCUCCUGACUGUUAUGUAACACUGUUGAUUCAUAUUGUACUUGCAUCCUAAAAAUCCUGGAAUCAUUUCUAGACAAACUGCUGUCCAUUCAUAUCUCCCCUAUCUUGUUCUUACAGAGCUGAUUAAAAUAAACAAACAAAUAAAAUCCUAAAACUAUACAUAUCCUUAUCAAUUUCCAUCUUAUUACAUUUAAUUUUAUGGUUCUAGGACACAAGUAUCAUCAAAGAAAAUUUUAAUUAAAACUUAGUAAGCUUGGCUAAUGGAAUAAUGAAGUGUGGCUGACCUGUUGCAGUUUUUAAGAAAGAAGAGCUACUUUUUUCAAACAUCGAGAAGUAAAACUUCAAUAUAUCAUGAGAACACAUUCAGAUGUCUCCUAUCUACCCAGAACAUUCAGGACUUCCUAUACUGAUUACAUUUGCGCGUGGGCGCAUGAACCUUCAGGGAGAGGCUUUCUAGCCAUUGCUUCUCAAUAGAUGGUGGCAGAGAAAAGCAGAUGUCCCAGAAGAAACAAAACAGCUGAAACCAACAUAAGAUAUCAAAGAACUGCUUGACAAGUAUGAGACCAAGAAAGCCACCCAGAAAAAAGGAUGCAAGGAUAAUGGACAUGUGACAUCAGCAGAGUGAGGAUUUACCAAGUGCCAAGCACUAUGCUAAGCCCUGAGGAUACAAAAAGAGGCAAAACAUAAUAAUAGCAAGGAUUUGCAUAGAUGAGGAAACUGAGGUUGAGAAAUGUUAACUAUCCAGAAGUACAUGUCAAGAUUAGAACUCCAAUACUCUUUGAAUUGCAUCAAUGAACUGCCUCUUAAUAAGGGAAGCAUGAAAUGGUUGACCCGGUCAUGGACUUCUGCCUUUUGAACUCCAUUUUCCAAAGCAAGGAUCUCAGAAGUUUGGCAGCCCUUCCUUUGGGAAUAGAGAACAAGCAAAGUUCUCUCCACAGUGAAUGUUGACUACCCCCAACAAGGACCAGUGCCCUUGGAAUACCUAUUAUGUGCAGCUAGCUAAUUCCAGAUGUGGCCCUGGGAAGCCUGUUGACAUCUCCUGGGAGCCAAGCUACCCUCAGUCAGGUGGAAUUGACUGAUUCCCAGGUAGAAUCAGUGCAUAGGUUUGGGGGAGGGGUGUUGGAGACUUUCUAUUUCUAAGAAAUUUUUAUUAUAUUACUCAUCCACUUGUGCCAUGUGUGUGCCUUCUUCAUGUCAAUAUAAGUGGAACAGAGAAUCAAUUAAAAAUACUUUUAAUUUAUUCAGGUUUCAUGUGGGAAUCUCGAAGAUUUUUAUAAAGACAUUAAAUUCUAUGUUAUCAGUAAUUCUUUUUACUGGUGCUUUGAGAUGCUUAAAGUUUGAUGACUGAUAUUCAUAAUGAUGACCCAAAGGCCCUGUAAGAUCAUGAUGCCCUUUCUUAAUAAUAUCACAGUUAAAACUGCAUUCAAUAUAGUUUUAUUGCUAACUUUAUUUAAUUAAUUCUCAAAAUUAUUCUGAAUCUACCUCUGGCACAGUACAUAUGGUAACUAUUGGCCAGGGAAUCUGAUUCAUCAAAAAGAACACUUCUUUUUCAAUUCGACCAGAUAGCAGGGAUUUUACUGUAUAGGGAAGUAAAUAUUCAUUGUACCAUAUAUAAUAUUAAAUUAUUGAUAAUAAAUAUGACAACACAUAAGCAUUCAACUGAUUAAAUUUCAAUGAAUAAAUUGAAAUAAAUAAUACUCAUCAGCUAGAAUAUGAUUUUUAUUGUAUGUUCUAUGAUCAAAAGCCUGGUAAUAAAUUAGACUAGUCAUGCACUGCACUUCCAGAAAAGAAGACCCAAUAUCUUUGAAAAUAUGUGAUCUCUAUUUAUAAAAGUCACUCGUCCUUCUCUUGGCAGACCUCAAAGUCCAGCCUGCCAAGAAAAAAUAAUAAUAUAUCUGAUGUAGAUUAAGAUUUUCAAACUUUAAGUAUCAGUCUCUUAGCAAC
ensembl:lncRNA